CCUACGGGAGGCAGCAGUGGGGAAUUUUGGACAAUGGGCGAAAGCCUGAUCCAGCCAUUCCGCGUGAGUGAAGAAGGCCUUCGGGUUGUAAAGCUCUUUCGCAAGGGAAGAAAACUUAUAUUCUAAUAAAGUAUGAGGAUGACGGUACCUUGAUAAGAAGCACCGGCUAACUACGUGCCAGCAGCCGCGGUAAUACGUAGGGUGCGAGCGUUAAUCGGAAUUACUGGGCGUAAAGCGUGCGCAGGCGGUUUUGAAAGUCAGAUGUGAAAUCCCCGAGCUCAACUUGGGAACUGCGUUUGAAACUCCAAAGCUAGAGUAUAGGAGAGGGGGGUAGAAUUCCACGUGUAGCAGUGAAAUGCGUAGAGAUGUGGAGGAAUACCAAUGGCGAAGGCAGCCCCCUGGCCUAAUACUGACGCUCAUGCACGAAAGCGUGGGGAGCAAACAGGAUUAGAUACCCUGGUAGUCCACGCCCUAAACGAUGUCUACUAGUUGUUGGUGGAGUAAACUCAUUAGUAACGCAGCUAACGCGUGAAGUAGACCGCCGUGGGGAGUACGGUCGCAAGAUUAAACGACAAAGGAAUUGACGCGUGAGACGUGCGACGACGACGACGAGGGAGGAGG
rnacentral:rRNA from 1 species